AUGCUUAUCCUGUUCAGAUAGACUAUCAUAAUUUAUUCGCCAGAUAGUUAUGAGGUGCUAGUUGCAAUCUUCUAAACACUGCCAGAUAGUUGAGAUUGUUUUCUUUUGUUUAGAUUAUUUAUUUAUUUAUUUAUGCGUCUGUAUCUGAGCGUGUGCACAGGAGUACAGGCCUUAAGAGGCCCAGAAGAGGGUGUGGGCUUCCCUGGGGCUGGAGUUAGAGUUGUGAGCCUCACCUUAGAUGAGUGCUGAGAACUCUAUUUAUUUCUUCUUAAGAGAAGCAAGUACUCUUAAUGCUGAGCCAUCCUCCAGCCCCCUGACACUAUUUAAAUGGCAUAAUUAUGUAAUUCAAUAAAUUGCUUCUCUGUUACUUAAAAGCUUUACUACUAAAUGAAUAUUUGAAUUCGACCUAAAAAUUAGUACAUUAAAAAGGGAUUGAAGUUCUGCCCUUUUGAGACAGUGUGAAGUCCAUCCUGUUCAGCCCAGCAUACGGAUCACUAUAAUCUUAGUGGCACUAACCUUACUGCAUUGGCAUCGCGGCUUAUUUUGUGUUCCAUCAGUACUGAGUUGUUAAAGCCCUUUAAGUUCUUCUUCAGAAUUAUCCUCUUCUUUCUGUUGACUUGGCAAGCUACUUCCAAGCAAUUUACCACACUUUCUGCACGGGCACGGUCGCUUUCUGAGCUAUUUUUCACUCUUUUUUUUAUGUAUCACAAAGGAAAUGCUCUAUUUGUUCAACUAUUUUCCUUCCCUGCUAGACUGCUAAAUUAUGAUGUUUGGGGUAAAGUCUUAUUCAUCCUUGCCUUUUCAGUACCUAAUGCAGAACCUACUAAAUAGUAGACACUAAACAUAGGAGAAUUAACUCAUGAAGAAUAGAUUGUAUAUAAUCAAAUUAACAAAGUAACAAUUUUUUUCACAGGAUUCUAGAUUAGAGCCUUUGUUCUGACACUCUCUCAUAGUAUCAUAUUCUUAGAUGCCCAAAGAUUACUUGGCCAAAUUUACAUUACAUAUUUGCAGGGUUAGGAUUAUACCCAGGUAUUCCAUGGUCUAUUUUCUACCAAUAAAAUAUACUGUUUACUCUUUUAAACAUUCUUUGUUUUAAGUUUUUAAAUUCCUAAAUCCUUAAAUCUUACUUAAUGUAUACUUACUAGAUCUAUAGAUCUGUGAAUAAUUGUUUAUUGUUAUAACUCUAAGUCGG
rnacentral:lncRNA from 1 species